rnacentral:rRNA from 1 species
AUCAACUUUCGAUGGUAGGAUAGAGGCCUACCAUGGUGGUAACGGGUAACGGGGUGUUAGGGCACGACACCGGAGAGGGAGCCUGAGAAACGGCUACCACAUCCAAGGAUGGCAGCAGGCGCGCAAAUUACCCAAUCCCGACACGGGGAGGUAGUGACAAUAAAUAACAAUACGGGGUUCUUUAGGAUCUCGUAAUUGGAAUGAGUACAAUUUAAAUCUCUUAACGAGGAACAAUUGGAGGGCAAGUCUGGUGCCAGCAGCCGCGGUAAUUCCAGCUCCAAUAGCGUAUAUUAAAGUUGUUGCAGUUAAAAAGCUCGUAGUUGAAUUUCGGGGUUCAUCCGUUGGUCGGGCUUUUUGGUCUGUACUGGCGUGAUGGAUUCCUACCUUCUGAAUAACCGGCAUGCCAUUAAUUUGGUGCGCCGGGGAAGCAGGACUGUUACCUUGAAAAAAUUAGAGUGCUUAAAGCAGGCUUAUGCCUGAAUACAUUAGCAUGGAAUAAUGAAAUAGGACGCAUGGUUCUAUUUUGUUGGUUUCUAGGAUCACCGUAAUGAUUAAUAGGGAUAGUUGGGGGCAUUAGUAUUCAAUUGUCAGAGGUGAAAUUCUUGGAUUUAUUGAAGACUAACUUCUGCGAAAGCAUUUGCCAAGGAUGUUUUCAUUAAUCAAGAACGAAAGUUAGGGGAUCGAAGACGAUCAGAUACCGUCGUAGUCUUAACCAUAAACUAUGCCGACUAGGGAUCGGACGAUGUUAAUUUUUUAAUGACUCGUUCGGCGCCUUACGGGAAACCAAAGUGUUUGGGUUC